GCCACGCUUUGUAAUGACAGCUUGAUAUGUGUAUAAAGCUGUUUACGUCCACGGUUUUGAAAUAGGUACUAGUUUUAAUUUUAUUUCUUUCAAUGAAUAUAUUGAGAUCUAGAAAUACGGUUUGUUUUUUACUAUAAUUUGUGGUGAUGAUUCCUCCUUCAUAAUUAUUAUGGUUAUAAAUGACAUUUUUCAAAGUGUCUUCCGUGCCAUUCCAGAUAAAAAACAAAUUAUCUAUGUACCGGCGAUAGGUCACCAGGCCCUCCACCCAGCCAUGAUCCCGCAAUAUGAAAUGGCGUUCCCAAAUAGCUACAAAUAAGUUCACGUGGCUGGGUGCAAACCUGGUGCCCAUCGCCGUACCACAGGAUUGUAAAUAAAAAACUUCAUUAUACCAAAAAUAGUUACUGGCUAAAAUUAACUCGAUUCCCUCUAUUAUAAAAUCUAUCUGUUCAGGUUUAAAACAUUUUGAUUGUCCCAGGAAAUACCUAACUGCUGUGCAGCCUUUUUGGUGGGAUAUUAUGGUAUAUAAUGAGCUGACAUCAGCAGUUACAAGGUAAUACUCCUCUUUCCAGGUGAUGUUUUCAAUUUUCCUUAAAAUGCUUCCUGCAUCUUUUAAGUAGCUAGGUGUCUUUUGUACUAUCGGCUGUAGACAUUUAUUUAUGUAUUCAGACAGCCUACUAGAUAUGAG